GUGCAAUAAAAACACGUUGAUGUGCAAUAAUUUAAGUUAAAAAAAAAAAAAAACCUUUAAGAAUCUCAUGCUGCUGGUUUUCUUUGUGCAUAUGUUGAAAUUUUCUUGAGUUCUUGAAAGAAGUAACUGGAGCAUUAUGUGAAGUUUUGCAAUUUGUGGCGCACUUGAACAAAUACUAGGUUCUUAAAAUCCUGAACCACCGUAAUUCUAAAUGAAAAUUUGUGAUUACUAACUCAGCUUGAAGCUCACAAAAGAACACACUACACACACAGUGAAAAUUGAAUGAAAAUUCUCUGCAGGAUUUUACUAAUUGAAAUCUGAAACUGAAAUACAUAGGAUUAUGGCCUAUUUAUAGAGAUUUUAAUGUCCUAGUCCUUAUAGGAAAAUUAAUCUACUAACUAGGAAGUUAGAUAAAAUAAAUUACAAUAGGAAUCUGGAUUAAAUAGGAAAAACUAAAUCCUAAUAGAGAUACGAAACUAAAUGAGUCCCAACUGAAACAGGAGACAAUAGGGGAAACUAAAUCUCAUGUGGAAUCUUGCCCAAAU
rnacentral:misc_RNA from 1 species